GGUUCCCAAACCAGUCCUCAAGGCCCACCAACAGUCCAGGAUUAUGUAUUUCCCUGUUUUAUUCCAAUGGAGAUACUAACAAAACUUGGACUGUUGGUGGAUCUUGAGGACUGGUUUAGGAAA